rnacentral:rRNA from 1 species
UAGAGUUUGAUCCUGGCUCAAGAUGAACGCUAGCGACAGGCUUAACACAUGCAAGUCGAGGGGCAGCGGUGGUGAAGGCUUGCCUUUACCAGCCGGCGACCGGCGCACGGGUGAGUAACACGUAUGCAACCUGCCUGCCACAGCCGGAUAAUCGGGAGAAAUUCCGUCUAAUACGGCAUAAUGCAUCGACGGGACAUCCAGUUGGUGCCAAAGGUUGAUUCCGGUGGCGGAUGGGCAUGCGUCGCAUUAGUUAGUUGGCGGUGUAACGGACCACCAAGACGACGAUGCGUAGGGGUUCUGAGAGGAAGGUCCCCCACACUGGUACUGAGACACGGACCAGACUCCUACGGGAGGCAGCAGUGAGGAAUAUUGGUCAAUGGGCGGGAGCCUGAACCAGCCAAGUCGCGUGAGGGAUGACGGCCCUAUGGGUUGUAAACCUCUUUUGCCGGGGAGCAAAGUGCCGCACGUGUGCGGUUUGGAGAGUACCCGGAGAAAAAGCAUCGGCUAACUCCGUGCCAGCAGCCGCGGUAAUACGGAGGAUGCGAGCGUUAUCCGGAUUUAUUGGGUUUAAAGGGUGCGUAGGCGGACGCUUAAGUCAGCGGUAAAAUUGCGGGGCUCAACCUCGUCGAGCCGUUGAAACUGGGUGCCUUGAGUGGGCGAGAAGUACGCGGAAUGCGUGGUGUAGCGGUGAAAUGCAUAGAUAUCACGCAGAACUCCGAUUGCGAAGGCAGCGUACCGGCGCCCAACUGACGCUGAAGCACGAAGGCGUGGGUAUCGAACAGGAUUAGAUACCCUGGUAGUCCACGCAGUAAACGAUGGAUGCUAGUUGUCCGGGGCGAUUGAGUUCUGGGUGACACAGCGAAAGCGUUAAGCAUUCCACCUGGGGAGUACGCCGGCAACGGUGAAACUCAAAGGAAUUGACGGGGGCCCGCACAAGCGGAGGAACAUGUGGUUUAAUUCGAUGAUACGCGAGGAACCUUACCCGGGCUCAAACGCAGGAGGGAUGUUUUUGAAAGGAGGCAGCCAGCAAUGGUCUCCUGCGAGGUGCUGCAUGGUUGUCGUCAGCUCGUGCCGUGAGGUGUCGGCUUAAGUGCCAUAACGAGCGCAACCCCUACCUACAGUUGCCAUCGCGUGAUGGCGGGCACUCUGUGGGGACUGCCUGCGCAAGCAGUGAGGAAGGCGGGGAUGACGUCAAAUCAGCACGGCCCUUACGUCCGGGGCGACACACGUGUUACAAUGGCAGGUACAGCGGGAAGCCACCCGGCGACGGGGCGCGGAACCCGAAAACCUGUCUCAGUUCGGAUUGGAGUCUGCAACCCGACUCCAUGAAGCUGGAUUCGCUAGUAAUCGCGCAUCAGCCACGGCGCGGUGAAUACGUUCCCGGGCCUUGUACUCACCGCCCGUCA